rnacentral:sRNA from 1 species
ACUCCUGGAGACGCGGAGACCCUGGCGCUCCAGACCAGUUUCCUUGUGGGAGGCUUCUUCCCGAAGCUUAGAGUUUGGCCUUUCAUAGGGAAAGACUUGCUCGGGAGCCUUCUAAGGGAUUUUAAAUCUUCCUGGACCAGGGCUAGGGAGCUCUAGUGACAGUGUCUUGGUCUGACAUCCAACUCUCCAAUUUUGAGGCCGCAGGGAGGAAUUCUCAGACUUUAGAGGCCGCACAGCCUUCAGCGCGCUCACUGCGUCCAGGCGUCAGUGAGGGGCUAUCUCGAGGCGCGAGUGCACAAAAGGUAGCGCGAGUCUCUUCUCAGGCGAUCCAGAUAAGAGGAAAUGAGAGCCGGGUUUUCUGACUUCCAACUCAUUAGGGACCAGGUUCUUUUUCUUCAGGAUCAGGCACAGAGACUGACUGAAUGGCUCCAAUUAUCAGGAUUUGAAAACCCAGUAUCAGAAUCUACCACUUUGUAUGGAGAAACUGAGGCCCAGAAAUUGAUCUCCAGAAUGCUUUGCUCUUAGCCACUGUACUAUUAUGGCAUAUUUUAUCUUUAUGUAUUGCAUCAUUUCAUGGAUUCAAGUUUAUCAAUGUCCUUUGACAAGUUUAAAAAUCUGUCUGCUAAAACCUAUCAAAUACAUUAAGGAAAAGUCCCACUUGGCACAUCUCC